CUACGGGAGGCUGCAGUGGGGAAUAUUGGACAAUGGGCGAAAGCCUGAUCCAGCCAUGCCGCGUGUGUGAAGAAGGCCUUCGGGUUGUAAAGCACUUUCAGUGGGGAAGAAAGCCUUGGGGCUAAUACCCUCGAGGAAGGACAUCACCCACAGAAGAAGCACCGGCUAACUCCGUGCCAGCAGCCGCGGUAAUACGGAGGGUGCGAGCGUUAAUCGGAAUUACUGGGCGUAAAGCGCGCGUAGGCGGUCUGAUAAGCCGGUUGUGAAAGCCCCGGGCUCAACCUGGGAACGGCAUCCGGAACUGUCAGGCUAGAGUGCAGGAGAGGAAGGUAGAAUUCCCGGUGUAGCGGUGAAAUGCGUAGAGAUCGGGAGGAAUACCAGUGGCGAAGGCGGCCUUCUGGACUGACACUGACGCUGAGGUGCGAAAGCGUGGGUAGCAAACAGGAUUAGAUCCCCGGUAGUC
rnacentral:rRNA from 1 species